rnacentral:rRNA from 2 species
GUGCUUAAUCCAUNCNAGUCGAACGAGAACGGAUUAUAGCUUGCUAUAAUUGUCAGCUAAGUGGCGCACGGGUGAGUAAUGUANAGGUAAUAUGCCUCUUACUAAGGGAUAACAAUUGGAAACGAUUGCUAAUACCUUAUAUUCCUUUUUAUCAAAAGAUAAAAAGGGAAAGAUUUAUUGGUAAGAGAUUAGCCUGUAUUGUAUCAGUUAGUUGGUGGGGUAAUGGCCUACCAAGACGAUGACGCAUAACUGGUUUGAGAGGAUGAUCAGUCACACUGGAACUGAGACACGGUCCAGACUCCUACGGGAGGCAGCAGUGGGGAAUAUUGCACAAUGGACGAAAGUCUGAUGCAGCAACGCCGCGUGGAGGAUGACACAUUUCGGUGCGUAAACUCCUUUUAUAUAAGAAGAUAAUGACGGUAUUAUAUGAAUAAGCACCGGCUAACUCCGUGCCAGCAGCCGCGGUAAUACGGAGGGUGCAAGCGUUACUCGGAAUCACUGGGCGUAAAGAGCGUGUAGGCGGAUUGAUAAGUUUGAAGUGAAAUCCUAUAGCUUAACUAUAGAACUGCUUUGAAAACUGUUAAUCUAGAAUGUGGGAGAGGUAGAUGGAAUUUCUGGUGUAGGGGUAAAAUCCGUAGAGAUCAGAAGGAAUACCGAUUGCGAAGGCGAUCUACUGGAACAAUAUUGACGCUGAGACGCGAAAGCGUGGGGAGCAAACAGGAUUAGAUACCCUGGUAGUCCACGCCCUAAACGAUGUACACUAGUUGUUGUGAGGCUCGACCUUGCAGUAAUGCAGUUAACACAUUAAGUGUACCGCCUGGGGAGUACGGUCGCAAGAUUAAAACUCAAAGGAAUAGACGGGGACCCGCACAAGCGGUGGAGCAUGUGGUUUAAUUCGACGAUACACGAAGAACCUUACCUGGACUUGACAUAGUAAGAAUGAUUUAGAGAUAGAUUAGUGUCUGCUUGCAGAAACUUGCAUACAGGUGCUGCACGGCUGUCGUCAGCUCGUGUCGUGAGAUGUUGGGUUAAGUCCCGCAACGAGCGCAACCCUCGUCCUUAGUUGCUAACAGUUCGGCUGAGAACUCUAAGGAGACUGCCUACGCAAGUAGGAGGAAGGUGAGGAUGACGUCAAGUCAUCAUGGCCCUUACGUCCAGGGCUACACACGUGCUACAAUGGG